rnacentral:rRNA from 1 species
UACGUAGGGGGCAAGCGUUGUCCGGAUUUACUGGGCGUAAAGAGCGUGUAGGCGGCCACGCAGGUCCGUUGUGAAAACUGGAGGCUCAACCUUCAGACGUCGACGGAAACCGUGUGGCUAGAGUCCGGAAGAGGAGAGUGGAAUUCCUGGUGUAGCGGUGAAAUGCGCAGAUAUCAGGAAGAACACCAAUGGCGAAGGCAGCUCUCUGGGACGGUACUGACGCUGAGACGCGAAAAGCGUGGGGGAGCGAACAGG